rnacentral:lncRNA from 1 species
UCCUCACCCUUACCACUCGCCGCUUCUCCCACCUCCUCCGCCGCCGCAAUGGCAGGGGAAAGCACGGCAGCCACCCCAUCGCGCGCAUGCGCACCCUCCCCGGCGCCGGCAGACGCACUCCUACCCACCCUGCCAUCCGCCCAGCGUCCCGAGCAACGCGACCUUGGGACUGGGAGGGUCAUAUGGGCGGUGAUAAGAUGGACUGGAGGGUGCGCGGCGAGGCGGAGCCCGGAGUCGCCGUGCCUGGCGGUAUGGCGGCGAGGUAAGAGGCUGAAACCCUAGAAUUUUGGUAGUACUACUACCUAUAUCUGAAUCUGCUACUCGCCCUUCUUCUAAAAAAAAUCUGCUACUACUAGUUUCCUCUGCAGUUCCGCUUGUGGAUGGCCCUCCUCCUAGCUGGAUGGCAGGGACAAUGGAUGAUCAUCUACUGCCCUCUUUUUUACCAUCUUGGUAGACCGGGCAUAAUAUUUGGUUAUUGUUUAGGUUCAGGCAUCGACUGAACUUGGUGAAUCCGAACUAGCUGACGAGAGGAUAAGUACUACUCGUAGGCCUGAAUACUUUCAUCUGAACUUUCAGGUGGCCUGUCACCUGUCAGGUGGUGAAAUCAAUCAAUUAUACCCAUGAGCAAUGGUCUGCAUGAUAAUAUUUCAUAUUUGGUUUUGGCACCAAUGUACUCCCUCCG